UCGUAUUUUCUUCUUCGCUCUCAAUUCUUGGUUUUUCAUCAAUACUAUUGGCCUGGCUCUUACUUUGUUUUUCUCCCACAAUACAUACCUCGUCGAAAAAAUCGUACGUCCUAUCAAAGUCCCUUUGAUUUUGCUUCACUCUGUCUGGUGUUCCUGGACCAAUUUUUGGCUCGUGUAUCUCUGACGCUUCUUCGUCUUUGUUACUUUUCUCACCCCUUGAUUCAAGUGCUUCUUUUUUAUCAUCACAAACAAUAGAAGCAUAAGGCACAGGUAUCUCUUUUGAGGGACUAUAUCGAAUAUUGUCAUCUACAACUUCAACGCGGCCUUGAGGAACAGUUGAACCUAUUAUAUCCGCAGGUUGUAAGGAACUAGGCAGAGAUCCCUCUAAUAGCUUCACGUCAGGCUUAUUCACAGGACUGUGAUUGAUGACAUACUCUAUAUAACCUGAACCAGUUAUAGAAUCACGAGGUCUCGAUGACUCUUGUAAAUCUGAUUGUACUUGUGCUUCACUUUGUUCUUGCGAAUUUGACUGCUCUUGCAAAUGAGAUUGGUCUAUACUGCCAGAUAAAUCCUGCAUAUUAGAGCUACGGGGCAUGUCAACUGUGGAAGUACUCUGAGAAGUGGUAGGUAUGUCAUCAGUUAGAGAACUGAGACGAGCCCUGCACAAAGAGACAGGUUAACAAAUAAGAUUGUGAAGAACCACCACAAUGAAAUAUAGAAGACGAAUGGACGAGAACUACUACGUCUAUAUCUUAAGAUCACCCACCCAUUAGUGUCAUCGGACGUAGACACAGCACGUGAUCUGCAAAUGUUUCUUUGUGGUAACCUCUUUUUCUGUCAUUUCAGAAAAGCACAACUCAGAUACAAAUACAGCAGAACACAGCCAAAUAGCGAACGAAGGAAAAAAACCAUAGCUCUUGAGAUGUCUAACGAAUUUUACUGAGCAAUUCAUUCAGCAAGCAUAACCUAAAUCCAAUAAGAUGAUUACAAACCUUUCUUUUGCGAUGCGCCUGAUCUUUCUGGGCCUUGGCAUCAUCUACUUUACUAUGGUUACCGAGUUCCUUUCUAAAGAAUGUUGGGUCUGAGUAUUUUCUCAGACACGACCCAGGACCACCUGCGUCAAAUCUGCAAAGGGGAAAAAUUAGCCAUUUCAGAAUGCAUUAAUUUCUAUUAAUAUUAAGAUGAAACUAAAAGCUUGUCCCUCACCUGUCAAGCAGAUGCAAAGGAGGAGGAUCUCUACACUGUUCAUAUGUUUCCAUAACACAAAGUGGCAAAUCACUCUGAACAAAAUGUCUUUGCCCAUUCCUUAUACGAGGAUGCCACUCACAGCCUACAACAGAAACAAAAGAAAAACGAAAAAAAUAAGAACUUUUCUGUACAAAAGAUCACAGAUAUAUAUAUCACCUGAUACUGUAGAUGAUAUGUCUUCAUAUAAGAUUUCAUAGCAACAGAGGUACAGAACAGAAAUCUGAAAAUAAUAUAGACAUAGAAAAUCAAAAGAAGACUAGAGAUGAGAGUAAAAGCCAAACCUGCAGUGUAUGCAAAAUGAAUGUGGCUUGUCUGUGACAGCACAGCCUUUUCAAGAGGUGACAACGCUGACUCUAUCCGUUUAACACGGCUUGUCAGUUUCUGACACCUAGACGCCGUAACAGUCACUUCUUCUUGUAUCCCAUUAAAUACCUCUGCGGAAAAUCUACAUGCAAGAAAUACCACCACUUGGUUAAAUAACUCUCUAUCACUUCGAGCAAUGCCACUUCACUAAUCUCCCCGUGUACACAACCAAAACCUCACUAUUCCUUGUUUCGAUUGUUAAGGAACUUCAGUUUCUCCUCAUCAAUAGAUUAUAUGUCAAAGCACAUACAAGUUAACUAUGUUGAGGUACUCUCUCAUCAUUCACUAAUUAACACUUAACCAGCUAUACUAGCUCUACGAACUGAGCUCAAAAUCAAAACUAUUGCGAAAAAGAUCUUCUACCAUUUCUUCAUAUGGUAUAUCUUCUGAUCCACCAUUGUUGUCACUGCUAGCAUCUUCAGAACAGUAAGUGCUGAUAUCCCCAAAAUAAUGCUCCAGUUUUGGUUUUGGUAUUCCAUCAAACUCACUUUCUGAUUCAGAUUCAAUUGUAUUACGUGCAUCUACAAACUCAUCUGCUUCACUCGUAUUUUCUUCUUCGCUCUCAAUUCUUGGUUUUUCAUCAAUACUAUUGGCCUGGCUCUUACUUUGUUUUUCUCCCACAAUACAUACCUCGUCGAAAAAAUCGUACGUCCUAUCAAAGUCCCUUUGAUUUUGCUUCACUCUGUCUGGUGUUCCUGGACCAAUUUUUGGCUCGUGUAUCUCUGACGCUUCUUCGUCUUUGUUACUUUUCUCACCCCUUGAUUCAAGUGCUUCUUUUUUAUCAUCACAAACAAUAGAAGCAUAAGGCACAGGUAUCUCUUUUGAGGGACUAUAUCGAAUAUUGUCAUCUACAACUUCAACGCGGCCUUGAGGAACAGUUGAACCUAUUCUAUCCGCAGGUUGUAAGGAACUAGGCAGAGAUCCCUCUAAUAGCUUCACGUCAGGCUUAUUC
rnacentral:lncRNA from 1 species